rnacentral:rRNA from 1 species
AGACCCGAAACCCGGUGAUCUAGCCAUGGGCAGGUUGAAGGUUGGGUAACACUAACUGGAGGACCGAACCGACUAAUGUUGAAAAAUUAGCGGAUGACCUGUGGCUGGGGGUGAAAGGCCAAUCAAACCGGGAGAUAGCUGGUUCUCCCCGAAAGCUAUUUAGGUAGCGCCUCGUGAAUUCAUCUCCGGGGGUAGAGCACUGUUUCGGCUAGGGGGCCAUCCCGGCUUACCAACCCGAUGCAAACUGCGAAUACCGGAGAAUGUUAUCACGGGAGACACACGGCGGGUGCUAACGUCCGUCGUGAAGAGGGAAACAACCCAGACCGCCAGCUAAGGUCCCAAAGUCAUGGUUAAGUGGGAAACGAUGUGGGAAGGCCCAGACAGCCAGGAUGUUGGCUUAGAAGCAGCCAUCAUUUAAAGAAAGCGUAAUAGCUCACUGGUCGAGUCGGCCUGCGCGGAAGAUGUAACGGGGCUAAACCAUGCACCGAAGCUGCGGCAGCGAACGUAUCACCCAAGACAACUUUACGGAGUUGACGAUUGACGGAGCGAAGCGACGUCAAAGCGUUCAUUAAAGUCGAGUUGGCUUAGGGAUACGUUCGUUGGGUAGGGGAGCGUUCUGUAAGCCUGCGAAGGUGGCCUGUGAGGGUUGCUGGAGGUAUCAGAAGUGCGAAUG